CCUACGGGGGGCAGCAGUAGGGAAUUUUCCACAAUGGGCGAAAGCCUGAUGGAGCAACGCCGCGUGGGUGAAGAAGGUCUUCGGAUCGUAAAACCCUGUUGUUAGAGAAGAAAGUGCGUGAGAGUAACUGUUCACGUUUCGACGGUAUCUAACCAGAAAGCCACGGCUAACUACGUGCCAGCAGCCGCGGUAAUACGUAGGUGGCAAGCGUUAUCCGGAUUUAUUGGGCGUAAAGGGAACGCAGGCGGUCUUUUAAGUCUGAUGUGAAAGCCUUCGGCUUAACCGGAGUAGUGCAUGGGAAACUGGGAGACUGGAGUGCAGAAGAGGAGAGUGGAACUCCAUGUGUAGCGGUGAAAUGCGUAGAUAUAUGGAAGAACACCAGUGGCGAAAGCGGCUCUCUGGUCUGUAACUGACGCUGAGGUUCGAAAGCGUGGGUAGCAAACAGGAUUAGAUACCCCAGUAGUC
rnacentral:rRNA from 1 species